rnacentral:sRNA from 1 species
CGGUCUCGACCUCCUGGGGGCAGAUGAAGUGCACGUGGCAGUCGAUGCCGCCCGCGGUGAGGAUCUUCCCGUUCCCGGCGAUUAUCUCGGUGGACGGCCCGAUCACCAUUCCGGGGUCCACCCCGUCGGCGGUGUCCGGAUUGCCGGACUUCCCUAUUCCGGUGAUCCUGCCGUCCCGCAGCGCCACGUCCGCCUUGACCACUCCCCAGUGGUCCAGGACCACGGCCCCGGUUAUGACCGUGUCGGGCGCUCCCUCGGCGCGCGUGGCCACCGACUGGCCCAUCGACUCG